GCAGCAGACCUGCUGAUAAUGCUCAUUAUUCUGUGGUAAAUGAUACUCAGAUGUUCUGCAGCAGCAGGAAAUUCAAUGUAUAGGUACCAUUAAAGGCCUGAUUCCAUUUUCUAACUCCACAGUGCAAGUGAAUGCAUCCAACAGCCAGGGCAGCUUGAUAAGUGAUGCUGUAACAAUUGUCAGGCCUCCAGGAGGCUGUUCAGCACAUCUUUCAGUGAGCUCACCCUGUGUCUGUUCUUGGUUUUGGGUGGGGGGGGUGUUGUGGAUGGCAAGAGAUGAGAGAAG